CCUACGGGUGGCAGCAGUGAGGAAUAUUGGUCAAUGGGCGCGAGCCUGAACCAGCCAAGUAGCGUGAAGGAUGACUGCCCUACGGGUUGUAAACUUCUUUUAUAAAUGAAUAAAGUGAUGCACGUGUGCCUUUUUGUAUGUACUUUAUGAAUAAGGAUCGGCUAACUCCGUGCCAGCAGCCGCGGUAAUACGGAGGAUCCGAGCGUUAUCCGGAUUUAUUGGGUUUAAAGGGAGCGUAGAGGGGUUGUUAAGUCAGUUGUGAAAGUUUGCGGCUCAACCGUAAAAUUGCAAUUGAUACUGGGAGUGUUGAGUACAGUUGAGGUAGGGGGAAAUCGUGGUGUAGCGGUGAAAUGCUUAGAUAUCAAGAAGAAAUCCGAGUGCGAAGGCAGCUUAAUAAAAUGGCAAUGACAUUGAUGCUUGAAAGUGUGGGUAUCAAAAAGGAUUAGAUACCCCUGGUAGUC
rnacentral:rRNA from 1 species